CAAUAAUGAUAACGUUAAAUAUAAGCAUUAUUUUAUCAAUAACAGUAUACAAUAUCAAUGUAUAACUGUACUUCGCUAUUUUAAACUCGUCAAAGGGAAAAAGAGUUCCACCGGGGUGAAGAGACGGUGGGCAUUUCCCAACGCCCUUCCGGAACCGUAUUUUAACCCUGGGAUUCAGGUCGGACCUCCUUUAUCAGCACACCGUGGCAUCCAUCACUGCUGAGGAAUAGACGUAAACAAGACAUUACUUUGAACUGUGACUAUUUACUUGAGAAUGAUGAUGGUUAAAAUUAUAACAAUGACUGUUACCACGUAAACUAUGAAGCGUGCACGCAACAUAGAAAACAAUGAUAGCAAAUGUCAAACUGUAUUUCUGCAAUACAGUUACGUAUGGGAUAUAAGAAACAAAAGCUGUGUGUCGCGUUGUCAUUUAUAUAAAAUUAACAUGAUAUUUGUUAUGGCCUGUGUACACUUGCACGCGGUAAACUACCGCGUGGCUCGCUUGUGGGCAUCCUGGCAGCAGCAGUUCUGUUGUGCAACAAAUAUCUGGGUAUUAAAUGGGUAAAUAGUUCAAUCUAUUCUCCAUUAACAGUUAAAAAGUUGUGUGCUCUAACCCGCUCUGGUGACACUUCGCUGCCCUGUUUCCAAUCGUCCACAUUGCUGCUGGGAGAACCUAUUUAAAAUACAGAGCUGUGAAACCCUGUCUGCAGAUGAAGAGCAAUGGUUCCCAGUCCUGUUCCUGGGGUCUCAAAGGGAUGCCUUGCAACUGGAGAUUUCUUAAACGAUUGCCUACAGUUACUGUGUAGGGCACGGCACAGUUGGGUGACCAGGGCCAUCUGGGACUGUCUCGUGGGGGAUUUCCGGCAUCUGUGAAGGCUACCUGUGUCCUGCAUAACUUCAUGAUGAUGAACAGGAGGGGACCUGCAGCGCUCCGCCGUGUUCCAGAGGAGAGGUCUGCUGCUCUGCAGGAUGUUGCCAGGAUGGGGGCCAACAACGCAGCACAGGAGGCAAUCUGUGUGCAGGAGACCUUCACCUCCUACUUCUUCACAAAGGAUGCUGUUCCCUGGCAACACCAUAGACUACACUAUGCACAAUCAAAGGCUCUUUUAAGAGCCAUCCACAUUGCAAUAAGAGUAUUCUUCAAUUUACUUAGCUAUGUCAACUGCAGUUAUUCAAUUUCCAGUUUCUCUUCCUUUGAUUUCUACUUCGCAGGUGAGGGUGCUGUUUAGGUAGGAGUGGUGUCUGUACAAAAACAAAACAGGCUCUCACCCAUUUUGAAAACAUUUAGAACAAUUAGACACCCUAUAAGCCACACCUACACACGUGUCUAUUGCUAUAAAGAAUAGUUAACACACCUCACACAGGCCUUUUUUCAGGUGAAUACGUUUUAGAAAAAAAUAUUGGUGUGUGUUUCUGGAAAAAAAGGCCACUAUUGUCUCAAAAGUCCGUUAUUAUUAACUUUUAAAACAAUUGUUAAUCAAUAAAAGGGGCAAUCCGCAGUUAAUAUAACUUGUGCUUAGUUCAACUGUUGUACCCCAUCAGAACCCAAAAUAUAAGCUUGUUUUGCUCCAAUGUUGUAAAUGUAAACAUACACUGUAUAGCCCAAAACAUGGAUGAAGCUAUGACGUUGGAUGGUCAGUCAUUGCAUGCACAGCUCUGUCUUAGAGCGGUUACACUUCUCCAGACAAAUCCCACAGCUUUUUACAAAAACAGAGGCAGGGUUCAGCUUUUUUAUUGUUUCAACUGUGGACUGUCCCUUUAAAAAACCCAACAACCAAUCAAUACCAACGUCAAUACAAAUAGAAUCCUACUUUGUCUAACAUGAAGAUUCACAGAAUGAAAGAAAACAUAUAUUACAAUCAGUGUAAAAAGUCUGCUAGAAGUGGCCUUCGCUUGUUACACACGGACACUAGUCAAUGUUAAACUGGUCUUCCAGUAGUAAUUUCAGCCACAGUCAGACUAUUGUUCACAAGCGUGUGUGUUAUGGUUGGAAAUAUGAGUCACCAUUACUCAGGUACUAAAAGCGUUCUUGACCUAGUGGUGUAUUGGAAUGGAUUCAUAAAAGUAUAGAUCACUUUGUGGCAGCAGUGUCUGUGGGCCGGGGCUAGUUGUGGAUCAAUUUGUGGCAGGUUUCUCAGCUUGGUCUAGUCACGUGUUUGUGUAUGUGGAUCACUUUGUGGCAUGCGUCUCAUCUUGGUCUAUUCGCGUUUGUGGAUGUGGAUCACUCUCUUGCAGUUGGGGCAGCGGUGUUCUACAUCCUUACAGGAGUCAACACAGAAUGGAAUCCAAGAGCAUGGCCAGCAUCUAGAGAGAGAAGGUAUUCAGUGUGUGUAUCCAUCUCUACAGUGUAUGUGUGUUUGAGAGAAAAAAUAAUGUUUGCCACAUGUCUGCAUAUGGUGUGUGUGCUUGUAUAACUCACAUGAAGCAGCAGAGGACUCCAAAGAUGAGCCAGGUGACCAGUCCAGGGGUGUGUGUGGUCUCUGUCAGAACCUGGACCUGACAGUAGGGACACAUCAUCUGGCCGGGUACGUCUCUUAGCAGCGGCUGCUGUAUCACCACCUGGGUUACUGCAGAGGGAGGAGAAUACUGGUUAGAACCACCACCUGGGUUACUGCAGAGGGAGGAGAAUACUGGUUAGAACCAGAUAGAACUGGUCAGAACAGGAUAUAACUUCAUAGAAUUGGACAGGACUAGAAAGAAUCCCCACCACCCGGGUUACUGCAGAGGGAGGAGAAUACUGGUUAGAACCAGAUAGAACAGGACAGAACCACCACCCGGGUUACUGCAGAGGGAGGAGAAUACUGGUUAGAACUGGAUAGAACUCAAUAGAAUGGGAUAGACGGGAUAGAACUGGACAGAACAGAACAGAACCAAUUAGAACCUCCAAAAAUGGGGUUCUUUGUUCUAUAUUUCCCGCCCCCACAGAGGGUAGAGGAUUAGAAGGGUUGCUAAGGAUGGGUGUUGCUAUGGCCAGGAUAUCCAGCCAAUGCCUUGUGUGACUACUAUUUGGUUCUCGUUUUCCACGGUGUACUGUGAAUAAUAAAAUAAGGAACCGAUUGAGGUA